rfam:Serratia marcescens FGI94, complete genome.
GCCGUCUCAACGGGGUGCGGAACAUGGUUUUCGCUGAGAGCAGACCCGUCGAACCUGAACCGGCUAAUACCGGCGGAGGGAUUUGAGUGCAGCCCCCCG